rnacentral:lncRNA from 1 species
CCCCUUUGUCCACAUGCACUAAUAGGUCCUCACACAUUGACCUAUCACAUUUUGGAAUUUUCUCACAUAAGUCCUAUUGACUAAAUUCACAUGAAAUCAACCAAAUUGAAGCUUGAAAUUUUCACACAUUCAUAAUUACAUAUUCUACACAAUAAGUAUCACAUUCAAACAUUUCGGUGACUCGGUUUAGCGGUCCCGAAACCACUUCCCGACUAGGGUCAACUUUGGGCUGUCACAACUCUCCCCCACUUAAGAAAUUUUCGUCCCCGAAAAUCUUACCGCUAAAUAGGUUUGGGUAACGUUCUUUCAUCGAGCUCUCGGUCUCCCAAGUUGCUUCCUCGAUCCCGUGUUUGAGCCAUAACACCUUUACUAGCGGAACUCUUUUGUUUCGCAACUCCUUCACUUCACGAGCUAGGAUACGCAUCGGUUCUUCUUCAUAGCUCAUGUCGACUUGAAUUUCAACCUCUGAUGGGCUAAUUAUAUGCGAUGGAUCAGAUCGAUAGCGUCGAAGCAUCGAAACAUGAAAGACGUCAUGAAUCUUUUCAAGCUCCGGGGGCAAAAUCAAUCUAUAUGCAACCGGACCAACUCGUUCGGAGAUUUUGUACGGCCCAAUGAAUCUUGGGCUCAACUUGCCCUUACGGCCGAACCUGAGUAUCUUUUUCCAAGGAGAAACCUUAAGGAACACUUUGUCUCCCACCUGAUGCUCGAUGUCUUUUCAUUUCAAAUCUGCGUACGAUUUCUGACGAUCCGUGGCUACCUUCAGACUUUCACGGAUUACCUUUACUUUCUGUUCAGCAUCUCUAAUCAAAUCAACUCCGAAAAUUUUGCUUUCACCGAGCUCGGUCCAAAACAAUGGUGUACGGCAUUUACGACCGUACAAAGCCUCGUAAGGUGCCAUCUUAAUACUUGAUUGAAAACUAUUGUUGUAAGCGAAUUCAAUCAAAGGUAAAUACCGUUCCCAUGAACUACUGAACUCGAGGAUGCAACAUCUCAACAUAUCCUCAAGUAUCUGAAUUAUCCUCUCGGAUUGACCAUCGGUUUGGGGGUGAAAAGCAGUGCUAAAAUGCAGCUUGGUACCCAGAGCUUCUUGCAAUUUCUUCCAAAAUCGUGAGGUGAAUCUCGGAUCUCUAUCCGACACGAUAGAAACAGGUACCACGUGUAAUCUCACAAUUUGAUAAACGUACAAUUCAGCUAGUUUAUCCAAUGAAAAAUCCGUACGUACGGGGAUGAAAUGAGCCGACUUAGUCAGUCUAUCAACAAUAACCCAUAUCGCAUCCUUCUUACUUGCUGACAAAGGCAGUCCGGACACAAAGUCCAUUGUGACUCGAUCCCAUUUCCACUCGGGUAUCAUGAUCGGCUGGAGUAAUCCUGAAGGUACUUGAUGUUCCGCUUUCACUUGUUGACAUAUCAAACAUCUCGAAACAAAGUCAGAGAUGUCCCGUUUCAUACCAUGCCACCAAAAUUGACGUUUCAAAUCGUUGUACAUUUUCGUACUCCCCGGGUGAAUUGACAUUCGGCUACAAUGGGCUUCGUUCAGAAUCGUCGAAAUGAGUUCCGAAUUCCUUGGAACACACAAACGAUUUCUGAACCUCAAACAAUCAUCAUCAUCAAUUUGAAACUCCGAUUCCUCGUUCGGAAAACACUUAGCCCGUUUUGCAACCAAUUCAUCAUCGACUUUCUGAGCUUCACGAAUUUGGUGAGUCAAUAAUGGUUUAGCUUUUAAUUCAGCUACUAACACACUGUCUGGUAGAACAGACAAAUGCACGUUCAUCGCUCGUAAAGCAAACAAUGACUUCCGGCUUAAGGCGUCCGCAACCACGUUAGCCUUUCCCGGGUGGUAAUCAAUGACAAGCUCGUAAUCUUUCAACAACUCAAGCCAACGUCUUUGUCGCAGAUUCAAGUCUCGUUGAGUCAUCAAAUAUUUGAGACUUUUGUGAUCCGAAAAUACAUGGCACUUCUCACCAAACAGAUAAUGUCGCCAUAUUUUUAAAGCAAACACGAUGGCAGCUAGUUCGAGAUCAUGGGUCGGAUAAUUCCUCUCGUGUGGCUUCAAUUGUCUCGACGCAUAGGCCACGACUCGACCUUCUUGCAUCAAUACGCAACCCAACCCAAGUAGGGAUGCGUCACUAUAAAUGACAAACUCUUUACCUGAUUCGGGUUGCACCAAAAUUGGAGCUUCAGUCAAAUGAGUUUUCAGUUGGUCGAAACUUUUCUGACAUUUCUCCGUCCACUCGAACUUAACAUCCUUUUGAAGUAGCUUCGUCAUUGGUGUGGCUAUCAUCGAGAAACCUUUCACAAAUCGUCGGUAAUAACCGGCGAGCCCCAAAAAGCUCCGAACUUCAGUAACGUUUCUCGGAGGUUUCCAGUCAAGUAUGGCUGAAAUUUUGUUCGGGUCAACUCGAAUACCCGACGCGGAUACCACACGACCCAAGAAGCUAACCUCUCUUAACCAGAACUCACACUUACUGAACUUAGCAUAUAACUUCUUAUCCCGCAAAAUUUGCAGCACUAGCCUCAGAUGCUCAGCAUGUUCGGUCUCGUCUCUUGAAUAGACCAAAAUGUCAUCAAUGAACACCACUACGAACCGAUCCAAAUACGGUCUGAAGAUCCGAUUCAUCAAAUCCAUAAAUACUGCAGGGGCAUUAGUGAGCCCAAACGGCAUCACUAAGAAUUCGUAGUGACCAUAUCUCGUUCUGAAGGCAGUUUUGGGAAUAUCUGAAUCUCGAAUUCGCAACUGAUAAUAGCCCGAUCUCAAAUCUAUUUUGGAGAACACUGAGGCUCCCUUCAGUUGGUCGAACAAAUCAUCGAUGCGCGGCAACGGAUAUUUGUUCUUUAUCGUCACUUUAUUCAGCUGACGAUAGUCAAUGCACAACCUCAGGGUUCCGUCCUUCUUUUUCACGAACAAUACUGGUGCACCCCAAGGUGAGAAACUUGGUCGAGCGAAACCUCUAUCCAUCAAUUCUUGCAACUGAGCUUUCAAAUCCUUUAACUCAGUUGGUGCCAUACGAUACGGAACUAUCGAAAUCGGCGUAGUCCCAGGUACAAGCUCAAUACCAACUCUACCUCCCGAACAGGUGGUAAACCCGGUAAUUCUUCCGGAAAAACAUCCGGGUAUUCACAAACCACCGGCACAGAUUCGGGUUUCUUUUCUAAUUCUUUGUCAUCAAGCACAUAUGCAAGGUAUGCUUCGCACCCUUUUCUUACAUAUUUCUGUGCCAACAUUGCUGAUAUUACAGCUGGCAACCCCUCCAAGUCCGCAGACUCAAUUCGGACUACUUCGUUAUUUGUGCACCUCAAAUCAAUAGUCUUGCUCUUGCAAUUCACAAUCGCAUCAUGCGCGGUCAACCAAUCCAACCCAAGGAUAACAUCAAAUUCAUCAAACGGCAAAAGCAUCAAGUUCGCCGGGAAACAGGAACCUCGAAUUUCCAGGGGACAUUUCUUACACACUUUGUCGACAAGCACGUAACGACCCAAGGGAUUUGACACCCGAAUUACGAACUCAGUAGACUCAAUAGGUAAAGUCUUACUGGAUGCUAAGGUUUCACAUAUGUAAGAAUGAGUAGAACCGGGGUCAAUCAAAGCAAUUACAUUAGUAUCAAAGAGGGUGAAUGUACCGGUAAUAACAUCAGGCGAAGAAGCAUCCUCGCGGGCACGUAUAGCAUAAGCUCUAGCAGGCGCGCGGGCUUCGGAUCUGGUUAUAUCAUCUCUAGAUCCUCUCUGACCACCACCAGCAUUGCCCAUAUUUCCAGAUGGUCUACCUCGAGCAGUGGUGGCACCCGGUCUCCCACUCUGAUUUGCAUUCUGUCCCGACAACCUCGGGCAAUCUUUAAUGAAGUGGUCCACUGAUCCGCAUUUGUAACAGGAGCGGUCAGGAAAUCUACAACUCCCCGAAUGCCAUUUACCGCAAUAUCGGCAUUUCGUCCUGUCUCGACGUUCAUUCCCAACACUGGCGACCGAAGUGCCUCGUGUACCCACAGGGGGUCGAUCACGAUCUCGUCCAAAAAGGCCCGAAGUGCCUCUAAACUGGCCCGCAUCAUCUCGAAAUCUCUUCGAUGUCUGUUGAAGAGACCUCCCCGAGGAUCUUUUACGAAACUCUCCAGUUCCCUCAUCAACUCUUUGCUUUUCUUUUCUAAGCUCUUCGGCUUUACAAGCUCGUUCAACAAGUACCACGAACUCUUGUAUUUCAAGAACGCCAACAAACAUUUUUAUAUCUUCAUUCAGCCCAUCCUCGAAGCGUUUACACAUAAUAGCUUCGGACGAAACACAUUCCCGAGCGUAUUUGCUAAGUCUAACAAAUUUUCGCUCGUAAUCAGUAACCGACAUGGAGCCUUGCUUAAGCUCAAGAAAUUCCUUCCGUUUUUGAUCAACAAAUCUCUGACUGAUAUACUUUUUCCGAAACUCAGUUUGGAAAAACUCCCAAGUUACUUGCUCUCGGGGCACAAUAGAAGUCAGAGUACUCCACCAAUAGUAGGCAGAAUCACGUAGCAAGGAGAUAGCACACUUUAGGCAUUCAUCGGGUGUACAAGAUAGCUCAUCGAGUACCCGGAUAGUGUUGUCCAGCCAAAAUUCAGCUUGCUCGGCAUCAUCGCUAUCCAUAGCCUUAAAUUCAGUAGCCCCAUGUUUUCGGAUUCUGUCAACUGGGGGCUUAUUUGACCUUAUUUGGUCCGUUACCGGUGGUAUUGUAGGUGCGGGGGUAGUAUUUGUCGGGAAUGGAGGUUGUGGAACAGCCAUAUUAGUUCGAAUGUAUUGGUUAAACCAAUCAUUCAUCACGCUAUAGAAUGCUUGUCUAGCUUCAUCAUUCUGAUUACUAGCAUUAGGUUGAGAGUCCGCCGGCACUGUCCCUUGUGCGGGAGCAGGUGCUACACUCUCAAGAUCAUCAGCUACUUCUCGGUCACGAUCGGGAUCCAUUACUAUAAAUAAACACAUUUACGAUUGUCAGAAAUCACCACACUAUCAAGUAAUCACAUAAAAUGGCAUGUAUAGCUAGACCCAAAACAUUACGGUAGUCCUAGAAUCGACUAAACCUGGCUCUGAUACCAAUAAAAUGUAACGCCCCGAACCCGAGACCGACACCGGAGUCGGACACGAGAUGUUAACAAACUUUGAAAAAAUUUUUCCAGACACUGCCCAGUCUGAGUACUAGUCGCUUCAAAAAUAAUAUCUUGAGUUUCACAACUCAAAAAUGAGUUUUGUGAUUUUUCCCUGAAACUAGACUCAUGUCCCCACCUAUGGAUUUUUUUCUAGAAUUUUUGGUCAGGCCAAUUAGUACAGUUUAUUAGUCAAAGUCUCCCAUGUUACAGGGGUCGACUACACUGACCUUUUCCCAUUACGACUGGGAUAUCUCUCUGCACAGAGCUUCAAUACUGAUGCCGUUUGUUUCUAUGGAAACUAGACUCAGAGAGGAAUCCAUACAUAUAUGGUAUGACCCCUAAUUAUCUCUGGUCAAUUUAUAGUGAAUUUCCAAAGGCGGAACAGUGAAUCCAGAAACUGUUCUGGCCCUGUUCAACAAGAACCCGAAUAUCUCUUUCUGUACUAUUCCUAUAAUUGUUUCGUUACUUCCAUAUGAAAGUAGAUUCAUCAAGGUUCGAUUACAUAAUUUAUUCACUAUAUAAUUCCACUCCUACGAAUUCUUGUGAUUUUUCCAAUCCACACCACUGCUGCUAUCAGCUUCUGUUUUCAAAGUGAACCUUACCUAAUUUGGGGUUUCAUGGACCAACUAGGGCCUUGUCAUACAUAAGCCCACAUAUGAUCAUACUUAGCCAUUCUAGUGGCUGAUCAUUUGCUCAACACUUCCAUUCCAACAUAGUUACAUCAUGAAACCAUCUAUACAUUCAUAAAUACGAAUGGUCUAAUGCCAUACUCCACUUCUACAAGCCAUUUUCGCAUGGCUGUACACUUAUACAUUUCAUAAAGUACUCGAAAGACAACAAUGGGUAGUCCUAUAUAUGCCAUAACAAAAUUCAACCAAAAUAGUACCCAAAAGAGCCUUUGAUAGUGUGGGCGACUUCGACUUCAAGAUCCCGAGGCCGAUAGCUGGAGAACCAAAAAUCUAUAAAACAGAGGAGCAAUGUAACGAGUAAGCAAUUUAUGCUUAGUAAGUUUGAGUAAGGAAUUCCAGCAUGCACAAAGAAUAGCACACAUUUAGCUAAACGAAAUAUUUCAUAAUACGCAAUUUACCGAUAUCAAACUUGCUUCACAACAUUAACAACCCUUAUGUACAUACACAAUAAACUAACUUGGCCGAAGGCCGGUAGCUCGUUUAUCAACUGAGCGAACAUUUAUUUGUAAGGGCUCGAUUAAAUUCAACACAUACGUAACAUAUCCCCAUAUUGGGAUGUUUUUCGAGUAUUCGCUGGAAUUUUACAGCAAGCUCAUUCAUUACCAAAUCACGUACCUUCGGGAUUUAACCGGAUAUAGCUCCUCGUUCAAAUGCCUUCGGGACACAGCCCGGUUUUAGUAACUCACACAAUGCCUUCGGGACGUAACCCGGAUUUAACAACUCGCACGAAUGCCUUCGGGACUUAACCCGGCUUUAAUAACUCGCACGAAUGCCUUCGGGACUUAACCCGGAUUUAGUAUCUCGCACAAAGGCCUUCGGAUCUUAGUCCGGAUAUAUUCACUUAGCACAAAGCCUUCGGGACUUAGCCCGGACAGCAUUCAAUUAAUCAUGCACAUCGAACAAUAAUUCAUGGUACAUUCAUAUUUCAUUUUCGUUUACGAAACUCAAACACAAGGCACAUAUUGUCCUUGCACAUUCGGCUCAAUAGCCACACAUAGGGCAUGAUUUAAUCACAUCGAAAUUUAAGCUCUCUUACUCAAGAACUUACCUCGGGUGUUGUCGAACGAUUCCGCUAGCUAUUCAACCACUUUUUCCUUCCCUUUAUCGGUUUUAUUUCCCCUUUGCUCUUGAGCUUAAUCAAACAAAUAAAUUGAUUUCAUCAUUUAGGCAUCAAAAGAUGAACACAAGGCACUUAGCCCAUAUUUAUACAUUAGACAUUAAAGUCUCAUACAUGCAAAAAUCAUGCAUCAACACAACAUAUUAGCUAAUUUCUUGCCCUUGGCCGAAUAUGCAUGUCUAUUUUUGGGGUCGAUUUCAACACUUAAUACACACAUGUACACACUAGUAAAGCAUCCUCCCCCUUUUCAUCAAUUUAACACAUGCAUUGCUCAUUAACAUGCAAAGUUACAUUCGGCCUUAGCACACAUCUUGCUAGCCGAUUUUUCUCCAUUUAGCAACCAAUGCACAUAUGUGCUCACACACAAAAAAAAAUGCUAAAAAGGAGGUUCAAGAAUCAUCAAGCCAUCAUCACAUGCAUCAUUAACAAGCUUCAUAUUUUGCAUGCAAUGGCAUUAACACAACCUCCACCUAGGCCGAAUCUUAACUCAUCCUCAUGCUUCAUCACCACAACAUCAAACAUCAACCAAGAAUGAUUCAUCCAUGGUCAAGUGCCAUUUCCAUCACAUAGCAAGAUUUAGACCAUGGGUUAGGUAGAACUCAAGCUAACAACUAAAACAUGCAUGCCUCUCAUGGAACAUCAUCAAACAUACCUUAGCCUAGCUACAUGCAUGGCCGAAUCUCUUCACCUUUCUUCUUCUUUCCUCCUUAAACUUUUUGGCCAAGGAUGAACCAAAGGAUGAGAAAAUUUUUCUUUGUUUUUCUUUCUAGUUUUUGGCAAGCAUGAAGAUGAGAAAAGGAUGAACAAAAUUCCCCCCUUUCUCUUCUUUAGCUCACGGCAAUGGGGGACAAACACUACACACACAUUUUUUUUUCUUUUGUUUUCCAUUUCUUUAUUACCCAUACUCCUUAUUUUAUUCUUCCACUAACAAAACAUGUUUCAUGACAUGUUUUGCCCAUCCUUCAUUGUCAUGGCCGGCCACCACUCAUUAGGGGGGGAAAUUUGACAUGCAAGUCCCCCCUUUGUCCACAUGCACUAAUAGGUCCUCACACAUUGACCUAUCACAUUUUGGAAUUUUCUCACAUAAGUCCUAUUGACUAAAUUCACAUGAAAUCAACCAAAUUGAAGCUUGAAAUUUUCACACAUUCAUAAUUACAUAUUCUACACAAUAAGUAUCACAUUCAAACAUUUCGGUGACUCGGUUUAGCGGUCCCGAAACCACUUCCC